GCGCGAGGGCCGCUCAGCGCUCGCAGCGAGGCCGUGCGCACAAGUCGCGUGGUUCAGGCUGGCAAAAGACCUUCCUGGCCGCCCAGUCGGUUCUGAAGAGCCGUUGCGAUCGGAGCUCAGAGGGAGCUGCGUCGCUGGUCCUCCCUUCCCCCUGACAGCGCGUCUUCCUGUAGAUUCCUUUAUCCUCUGAGGAGUAUAACUGAGGAAAGAAUAAUCGUAACCGAUAUUUCGGAAGGCUCCAACUUUCUAAUGAAUUUAACAUAUUUCAUGAAAGACAGCUGAAAGCAAUGAACAACAUGAGGAGAGAAAAUGCAAAACUGUUUGUUU